GUGGCAUAAGGGCACUGUGACAACGCAGUACGCAGUUUACAAACAAUAUUUGUAAACUGCGUACUGGUACUGCGUUCAUGUUCAGGCUGCUCGUCAUCUAAAGCUGCUAUACAGCGAGCACCAAUAUCAUUGAAGAUCUGGUCCAUGAGGGGAUCGUCAGUGCUAUAUAACCCCUUAACAUCAUCAUCUUCAGUUUGGGCUGGAAAGCAUUCAGCUUUAAAUUCGUGAGGAACUUUGGUUUUGCAGUCGGGAGGCUCAACAAGCCAUUUGCCCAAGUCAGAGUCAGGAGAAUUAGGGAUGCU